GAGUUUGAUCGUGGCUCAGGAUGAACGCUGGCGGCGUGCUUAACACAUGCAAGUCGAACGAAGCGCCUUAUUUGAUUUUCUUCGGAACUGAAGAUUUGGUGACUGAGUGGCGGACGGGUGAGUAACGCGUGGGUAACCUGCCCUGUACAGGGGGAUAACAAUCAGAAAUGACUGCUAAUACCGCAUAAGACCACAGCACCGCAUGGUGCAGGGGUAAAAACUCCGGUGGUACAGGAUGGACCCGCGUCUGAUUAGCUGGUUGGUGAGGUAACGGCUCACCAAGGCGACGAUCAGUAGCCGGCUUGAGAGAGUGAACGGCCACAUUGGGACUGAGACACGGCCCAAACUCCUACGGGAGGCAGCAGUGGGGAAUAUUGCACAAUGGGGGAAACCCUGAUGCAGCAACGCCGCGUGAGUGAAGAAGUAUUUCGGUAUGUAAAGCUCUAUCAGCAGGGAAGAAAGUGACGGUACCUGACUAAGAAGCCCCGGCUAACUACGUGCCAGCCGCCGCUGUAAU
rnacentral:rRNA from 1 species